GCCCUUGUUAGCUCAGUUGGUAGAGCAUGAGACACUCAAUCUCAGGGCACAAGUUCGAGUCCCACAUUCCUGCGUUGCCACGGGUU